GAGGAGUCGGGAAGACAGGCCAGCGGAAGAGGAAGUUCGGGCUCCCAGCUUGGCCCCGAGGCAGGUGAAGCGCAGGGCGGGGAGUGGGAUUACACAGUCGGAGGCAUCCGACAAAAUCCGGUGGAGAUUCGGCCAACUUCUCCAUCCUGCAGUCGGGCAGGGGGCUGACGAACCAGUGCAGCCGAGGAAACAGCAGCCCUUUGCACUUGCUGGUACUACUUCCUGGUAUGCUCUCCAUCCAGAUCAUUGCUUGUCAUGUUCCCUCAUUUUAUUCAGAUGAGCACAUGCUGAGUCCCCACUCCACGGAGCCCGCAUGAACCUCUGGACCUCUGACCAACCUGCCCACUUCUUUCCUAAAUUUUGACUUCUGAAAAGAUUAACACAGCUAAACCACUUCAACCUGGCAGGGAGAGGCCCCUGCCUUGGCAUAUCCCUACCCACUGGAGCCCUGACUUAGCAGAAGUUCUCAUCAUGGGAGAUCCAGGAAAGUCUCUGAAAGAAGAUGCCGAGGUUCCCAGGAACACCUUUCCUGAGUCUGAGCUAUGAUUAGGGCAUCUUUGUCUUGUACACCUACGUGAAGCAGACAUUUUUGGCAAUGCCUUUAUUCUACAGAACGCCAGCUAGGUCUAGGGCUAAGAAAAGCACCAUGUUUAUAUGUCCACCAAUUUUCUCAAUCAUGAGCAAAUUAUUUGCUCCUCGCCACAUGAAAAAAAUGAACUUUCUCUUUUGAGAGUUUGGAGAAAAUAAAAAAGAGAAAUUAACCAAAGAGAGCUUGGACAAUAAAGUGAACAAAGACA